UGCAAGUGACGUGCGACUAUUGCAAUUGCUAAGAAUAAAUAUAAGUAAUACAUCGUGAGAAAAAUGAAGUACUUGCUGAUUUUUGCAUUCGUCGUUACUCUGACUGUUGCAUUACCUACCGGUGAACAAGUGGACCCUGGUGCUGCUGACCCAACCUCGGUUACAGAACCCAUUGUAGACACCCAUGCUGCUUUGAAUAAUGAGCCUGUUGUUCUUGAGCCUGCUUUCGCAGAUCAACCGGAAGAAAUGAAACAAAAUGCGCAAAAUAUCUUUAACAUCAAAUCUAUUUUGAUGUUAAAUAAGUUUUGAGAUAGUAGGAGAGGGGAGGCUUGACGGGGCAGUAAGGGAUAUUGACGAUAAAAAAAUAAAAAUAUCAUUGUGAUUUAGUAGUCGUAAGUUAUAUAAUAAGGAUCCUAUAUUCAAUAUAUUCAGUGUAUUCUCGGA